rnacentral:rRNA from 1 species
CGCGGCCUAUCAGCUUGUUGGUGGGGUAACGGCCUACCAAGGCGACGACGGGUAGCUGGUCUGAGAGGACGGCCAGCCACACUGGGACUGAGACACGGCCCAGACUCCUACGGGAGGCAGCAGUGGGGAAUCUUGCGCAAUGGGCGAAAGCCUGACGCAGCAACGCCGCGUGCGGGACGAAGGCCUUCGGGUUGUAAACCGCUUUCAGCAGGGACGAACAUGACGGUACCUGCAGAAGAAGCCCCGGCCAACUACGUGCCAGCAGCCGCGGUAAUACGUAGGGGGCGAGCGUUGUCCGGAUUUAUUGGGCGUAAAGAGCUCGUAGGCGGUUUGGCAAGUCGGGUGUGAAAACUCCGGGCUCAACUCGGAGAGGCCACUCGAUACUGCUAUGACUCGAGUCCGGUAGGGGAGUGCGGAAUUCCUGGUGUAGCGGUGAAAUGCGCAGAUAUCAGGAGGAACACCAGUGGCGAAGGCGGCACUCUGGGCCGGAACUGACGCUGAGGAGCGAAAGCGUGGGUAGCGAACAGGAUUAGAUACCCUGGUAGUCCACGCCGUAAACGUUGGGCACUAGGUGUGGGGUUCGAUCGACGGGCUCCGUGCCGUAGCUAACGCAUUAAGUGCCCCGCCUGGGGAGUACGG